UAGAAAGCUGUGGGUUCCCGUGCCAACGUUUGACUGUCCGUCUUAUAUGAAAUUUUUUUAUAGUUAGUAUUUUUAUUGUUGUUAGAUGAUAAAACAUGAUUAAUACUUUAUGCGUGACUUGUCUUUUUAAACUUUUUCAUAAUUUUUUCAAAUAAGACGGACGGUCAAAUGUUGGACACGGAAAUC
rfam:Oryza glumipatula chromosome 12, whole genome shotgun sequence.